rnacentral:lncRNA from 1 species
UACUACGUCCAGUCUCAAGCUCCUCUCCAGGACUUGAGAUCCUAUUACUAUUAGUAAAAAUUACUCCUUCAACAGGCAGAGAAGCCUUUACAAAGUUUUAAAGAUAAACUUUCAACUAAUCCCAACUAAUCUAUCUUGGACAGCAAGCUCCCCGCUCCUUCCUCAAGCUUAGUUGUACUUCUUUUGAGUUCAGCUCUAUUCUAUGAUCUGGUCUUGAAACAACAGCCUCUUCCUCACCUCACAAGUACACUAGAGACCCAACUUCCAGCUGACCUCUCUAAGACUCUGGUCUUGGUCGAAGAAUUACUCGUCUUUCUCACAGGUACAUAAAAUAAACUAACUCUAAUCCUUUUCUCUUUUUACAAAUGAUUUUACAAUAAUGUGCUUCUUAAAUAAGCAGAUAUAAUUAAAGAUCAAAUAUAUUUAUAAAAGUUUAAAGACUUUUAUACUUGAGAAAAUAUGCUUCUUAGUAAGCAGAUAUUAAU